AUUGAACGCUGGCGGCAUGCUUUACACAUGCAAGUCGAACGGCAGCGCGGGCUUCGGCCUGGCGGCGAGUGGCGAACGGGUGAGUAAUGCAUCGGAACGUGCCCAGUAGUGGGGGAUAGCCCGGCGAAAGCCGGAUUAAUACCGCAUACGACCUGAGGGUGAAAGCGGGGGACCGAAAGGCCUCGCGCUAUUGGAGCGGCCGAUGUCGGAUUAGCUAGUUGGUGGGGUAAAGGCUUACCAAGGCGACGAUCCGUAGCUGGUCUGAGAGGACGACCAGCCACACUGGGACUGGGACACGGCCCAGACUCCUACGGGAGGCAGCAGUGGGGAAUUUUGGACAAUGGGGGCAACCCUGCUCCAGCCAUGCCGCGUGCUGGAAGAAGGCCUUCGGGUUGUAAACCGCUUUUGUUCGGGAAGAAAUCCUCUGGGCUAAUACCCCGGGGGGAUGACGGUACCGGAAGAAUAAGCACCGGCUAACUACGUG
rnacentral:rRNA from 1 species